UACGGAGGAUGCGAGCGUUAUCCGGAUUUAUUGGGUUUAAAGGGUGCGUAGGCGGGAUGCCAAGUCAGCGGUAAAAAUGCGGUGCUCAACGCCGUCGAGCCGUUGAAACUGGCGUUCUUGAGUGGGCGAGAAUUAUGCGGAAUGCGUGGUGUAGCGGUGAAAUGCAUAGAUAUCACGCAGAACUCCGAUUGCGAAGGCAGCAUACCGGCGCCCUACUGACGCUGAGGCACGAAAGCGUGGGUAUCGAACAGG
rnacentral:rRNA from 1 species